ACCUAUGGUGGCUGUACGCAGGGCACCUUCGUGUGCGCCGGUUUUUCCUUACUUUGCCCGGUCUACCAACCUGCGUACCGCCGCCUCCCAU
rnacentral:antisense_RNA from 1 species